UACGAAGGGGGCUAGCGUUGCUCGGAAUCACUGGGCGUAAAGCGCGCGUAGGCGGAUUGUUAAGUCAGGGGUGAAAUCCUGGAGCUCAACUCCAGAACUGCCUUUGAUACUGGCGAUCUCGAGUCCGGGAGAGGUGAGUGGAGCUGCGAGUGUAGAGGUGAAAUUCGUAGAUAUUCGCAAGAACACCAGUGGCGAAGGCGGCUCACUGGCCCGGUACUGACGCUGAGGUGCGAAAGCGUGGGGAGCAAACAGG
rnacentral:rRNA from 1 species